CAGACGCUCAGUUGCGAGACUUGCUCCGCCCCUCAACAGCCGUACGUGCUCGCCCCCGGUGGUGUCACAUGGUCUUGGAGAUCAGUUUUAUUGUGAAGCGAGGUUUUAUACAUUCAAAGUAUAGCGAGCUUCACUUUUCUAUAUCUGAAGAGCAUGAGAAUUUGUUUCUUGGCAAUGAUCAGGACAUUGGCCAGGCAAGGAGAAUGAACAGGGUCCGGCUCUAGCUGAACCUCCAGCACCUCAGAGAGGAUCCACAAGCCGGUGUAGCGGAGCUAGUUUGGACAUGGUGAUGUCAUCACCCACCCUGGGCUGAGGGAGGUCUCCUUUAGCUCCUGCGGCCGGUUCCCUGUUGCGUUAUGCCGGAGACCUGGGUUUGCGCCCCAGGUGUUGCGGGACGAACCGGCGGGGUGGAGCGGCGGAGGUGACACUAGCACUGCUGUUCAUGACCUGGAAGUCGUUGCUGGAGUACUUCCAGAUCCCGGCGAGCAGGAGACGGUGUCUGACUGGACCAUGGUCCCUGUCGUCCUCAAAGAAGAAGCCUGCGGCGCAAGUGGUGGACAUUGAUCGUUGGGCCCUGCUGUCAUUUUGUUGACAGAAAUUGCCUGACCAGGUGUUUGAAGUUACUUAUCGUAUUACAUCGGCAAACUCCUACUGCUUAGUCCACUAAUGUACCAGCCCACCAACUCGUCCACCUCCGUACUAAUCCAAACACCCACCUGCUGCUCAUCCUAACCACUGACCCCUGCCUAUUAGCUAACAGACUGACUAACUGGUCUUCUAAGCUACUAUCCACAAGCCGCCUUUCCUCUCUCAGAUCAGGAGGGUGGCUGCUACCAGCUGUGUUCAGUAGUAAAAGCUUUCUGCCCUGUU